UGGGGAAUUUUGGACAAUGGGGGGAACCCUGAUCCAGCAACGCCGCGUGAAUGAAGAAGGCCUUCGGGUUGUAAAGUUCUUUUGUCAGAGAGCAAAGGUUUGCUGCUAAUACCAGUAAACGCUGAGAGUAUCUGAAGAAUAAGCACCGGCUAACUACGUGCCAGCAGCCGCGGUAAUACGUAGGGUGCGAGCGUUAAUCGGAAUUACUGGGCGUAAAGCGUGCGCAGGCGGAUGUUUAAGUUAGAAGUGAAAUCCCCGGGCUUAACCUGGGAAUGGCUUUUAAGACUGGGCAUCUAGAGUUUGUCAGAGGGGGGUGGAAUUCCAAGUGUAGCAGUGAAAUGCGUAGAGAUUUGGAGGAACACCGAUGGCGAAGGCAGCCCCCUGGGAUAGAACUGACGCU
rnacentral:rRNA from 1 species